GAGACAUCAUGAAAAAGGUUAAACGUAGCGGUGUCCGUGAUGUCGUGUAUAAAGUUUUCAUUCGGUGUUUGUCCGAAUUUCAAGCUAGAAGGUUAUUGACUGAUUUGGAAAACGUUUACAAACGUACAGCAGAAUAUACCGGGGUUUCUGCAAAAGCACAGUACGCUGGAUAGUAGAGCAAGGGAGUAAAAAUUAAGGAAAAUUUUCAACACCAGCCAAACAUAGGAGAGGUAGACCAUCAAAGACUUUAGAUGACUUUGACAUCUGCCCAAUACGCCAAAAGAUUCAUUUUUUUUUACACCGUAAAAAAGGAAGUACCGACGAUUGGCAAAUUAUUGGCUCAGCUACGUGAUGACAUUGGGUAUGAUGGAAGUUGUGAGCAUUUGCGAAAACUUUUAAAAAAGAUUGGAUUUCGCUAUACAAAAAGUAAAUCCAAUAGGCAGGUUCUCCUUGAAAAACCCAUUAUAGCACACAAAAGAGAGAUGUAUCUGCAAGCUAUAAUGGACAUAGAAGUUUGCCAGAAGAAAUUCAGAAGGAAAUCAUUUACUUGGAUGAAAGUUAUAUACAUUCAAGCUAUAAAGUUUAAAAAUGUUGGCAGUCAAUAGAUACAGAAGGUGUGACUACAGACAUUUCUAAAGGAAAGAGAUGGAUUUUAGUACAUGCUGGAAGUGAAAAAGGCUUUGUGCCUAAUAUUCUUUUAAUCUUUAGUGGUUUAAAUAAACAAGAAGAUUAUCACUCUGAGAUGAACCAGACAAACUUUCAAAAAAUGGGGUUACUGAAAAACUAUUACCAAAUAUAAGAGAACCCUCAAUCUUUGUUAUGGAAAAUGCUCCCUACCACUCGGUGGUAAAAAAUAAAUGUCCAACACCAGCCAACGAGGUUGAUGAAAUAAAAAUGUGGUUGUUAGAAAAUAAUAUUCCCUUUGAUCUACACCUAAGGAAACCUUCUCUUGUUCAGCUGGCAAAGAAAUAUAAACCAGAUCCAGUUUAUGAAAUUGAUGAAUUAUUGGGGCAACACGGUCACACAGUGGUAAGGUUACCGCCUUAUCACUGUGACCAAUCCAAUAGAAUUGAUUUGGGCACAAGCAAAAAGAAAGAUUGCUUCGCAAAAUGUUGGAGCAAAAAAUAUUAAAGAAUUGGCUUUAGAUGUAUUCAACUCCAUUACAAAUGAAGAUUGGAAAAAUUGUUGUGACCAUGUAAAAAAAAAUACAAUAGGGGCAAAACCCUGUACAAUAACAUAGAGAAAUUUAUUAUUAGUGUGCGACAAAUAUUUCAAAACCUGUAUGUAUAGCAACUGUGAGACGUGUAUGGAUGAUAAAAUACACGAAAAGGAGAAUUUGCCAGCAAAAGUAAAAUGGUCUGCAUGGUCAUUACUAAAUCAUGAAUACGGUGAACCUUGAAACAUUAAAAAAAGACACAGAAAUAAGGUAGUGCGAAAGAUUUAAUUGACACCUACAACAAAGAAUUAGCAAAUUUUAAAAGGCCUUAAAAGGCGCUGUAGAUUUUAAUUCAAAGUUACCAAAUAUGACAGUGGAGCAAAAAAUUAAUAAUUUAAAACAAGAUUUGUUAAAUAGUCCAUGCUAUGUCUUCGGUGACCACGACAAAUGUAAACCUUAUUUUUGCAAAGAAAUAAGUGGUGACAAUUUAGUCCGUGAAAUGAAAAAAUGUGGUUUAUGGUAUGACAUUUUUUUCUAUUUUGAGCCUUCCUAUAACGAAUGCAGAAAGUCUUUUAAUGGCUCACACAAAUAAUAUAGCUGAACAAUUUCAUUCUAUUAUCGCGAAAUUUGUUGUAAUGUAUGAAUGUGUUGUAACGUAUUUUUAAAGUGCAUGCAGUGCUCAUUUUUUAUUGGUUGUCCAUCAUGUUCUAUAUUUUUUGUGUAUUUUUCAUGUAAUUUCAUCGAUGUACCAAUCAGAUCAAAAAAUACCGAAAUACCUACAAAAUAUUUAAACCGUAUUGCUUCUAAAAACAAAAGGAAAGCAGACACAAAUAGAAACGAAUCAAAAGAAAUGUUGCACAUGCAGAUGAGCAUUAUCGGGGUAUGGAGAAAGAAGCAGACCUCGACAGUAAAGUUUUUCAAAAAAAGAAAGACGAACUGUUAUUAGAAUUAAGUCAAAGUGCGAGUCAGAGGCAUGAAAUUCAAAUAAAAACUAUAGGUCAAGGAGCCAACCAAGAACGGUUGAAGCAACGAAAAAUGAGGUUGACAGCUUCAUUCUCAGGUCAAGUCUGCAAACUAAGAGAUACCACAUCUGGCCAAAACAUUAUAAAACAAUUGAUAUAUAGUAAAUUUAAAGGUAAUGAUGCCACAAAAUACGAAAAUGAAAAUGAACCCAUCGCACUGAAAGAUGCCGACACACUUUUAGGUCUUCAUAUUGAACUAUCUGGGUUGUUUAUCGACGAAAAUCUACAUUUUCUCGGAGCAAGUCCAGAUGAUUUGAUAGAUGUGAACGCUAUAGUCGAAAUGAAGUGCCCUGCAAGCGCAGCAAACUUUGCGCCAUUUGAAGCAAUAGACGAAAAAAAUUACCUUUUGCACUAAAGAUAACAUGCUAAAUAAAAUAAAACUAAAAACAAAUUAUAAUUAUUGUUAUCAGGUACAGGGCCUAUAGCAAACCGCGAAUACUGUAUUUUUAUUGUGUGGUUUAGAAUAUGAAAAAAUUGAAAAAGAUAAUGAAUUCUGGAAUUCUAUUGUAAACAAAUUACAAGAAUUUUAUUUUAUAUGCAAUAUGCAUUUACCCGAAUCAAUAGAUCCCCGUUUGCCUAGAAAUCUGCUGAAAAAAAUCUAUUAUGAGCAGGAUUUUAACCCACAACCUACCGGGUAUAGCCCUCAAUCGCUCUGCCACUAAGCUAUUUAUCGAAAUUCUCUCAGGGUACAUAAUAUCAAAUUAUUACAUUUUAUUGUAAUGUUUUAGAUGACAUAGCAUCGUGUAAUUUUUUAAAACUGUAAAAUGAAGAAUAUCAUAAUAUUUAUAGUAAUAAAGAAAGUAAAAUAAUGAAAAUAAUAUAAAGCGUGUUAAAUUGGCUAUUAUAUGUCGAGGUGAGUUUGCGACCAGCAAUCGAAAUAUGGUCACCCUACACUUUAUUAAAAAUCAAUGUAACAAUCUCUAUUACUUACCUAAUUAUGAAUAACAUAAUAAAUGUUUACCUGUGGAAA